CAAAAUUUUCAAUUUGCAAGACGAACUUUUAGAUCCCAUUUCUUUUUUUUCUUUUCAAGUACCAUCCAUCCAAUCCACCACAAACACAGUUUUUAACAAUUUGAUGCUCCAAACUUGUAAGAAUUUGUAAUUUGUAAUUUAAUGAAUCAAUAGACUUCGACAAGAAUUACCUCAAUG